UGUAGUCAUAUGCUUGUCUCAAAGAUUAAGCCAUGCAUGUCUAAGUAUAAGCAAUUAUACAGCGAAACUGCGAAUGGCUCAUUAAAUCAGUUAUCGUUUAUUUGAUAGUACCUUACUACAUGGAUAACCGUGGUAAUUCUAGAGCUAAUACAUGCUAAAAAUCCCGACUUCGGAAGGGAUGUAUUUAUUAGAUUAAAAACCAAUGCCCUUCGGGGCUCUCUGGUGAUUCAUAAUAACUUCUCGAAUCGCACGGCCUUGCGCUGGCGAUGGUUCAUUCAAAUUUCUGCCCUAUCAACUUUCGACGGCUGGGUCUUGGCCAGCCAUGGUGACAACGGGUAACGGGGA
rnacentral:rRNA from 1 species